UACGUAGGGGGCUAGCGUUGUCCGGAAUCAUUGGGCGUAAAGAGCGUGUAGGCGGCCCGGUAAGUCCGCUGUGAAAGUCCAGGGCUCAACCCUGGAAUGCCGGUGGAUACUGUCGGGCUAGAGUCCGGAAGAGGCGAGUGGAAUUCCUGGUGUAGCGGUGAAAUGCGCAGAUAUCAGGAGGAACACCAAUGGCGAAGGCAGCUCGCUGGGACGUGACUGACGCUGAGACGCGAAAGCGUGGGGAGCAAACAGG
rnacentral:rRNA from 1 species